rnacentral:lncRNA from 1 species
UUAUCUUGUGUUAUGUAGGUGAGGCCAGUGAAUGGAGAAACAUGGUCUUUUGAAGCGAUCAGCUGGUUCAGGAGUAAAGUGCAGAACAAGACUCUUUAUGCCAGGCUUUACCCAGAAGAAGGAGAAGUUUUGGUUGAACUCUUCAUGGAAAAGGGAAAGAUUGGUGCCAUGAGGAGAGGAGACUCUCUGUCUGUCAGACUUGCUCUGAAUAGAUUUGCCAUUCAUGAAUGUAACAAACCCAGGAGUCUGAAGAGAAGUGACGUCCCAGAACAAACCAGACAGCAGUCCUUACAGUGGGAGAAAUAUCUGAUCUCCUGUUACAGUCACAACAGGAAAUAAUGUUCACAGUAAUCAGCAAAAUACAGACCUUUGUUAUUCUUCAUUACUGUACAAUCUUAUGAAUACUUCACAAUAUCUACUAUAUGCAUUUCAUAGUCUCUGUUUGGUUUUUAUUUUAUUUUUAUUGUAUUAUAAUUAUUUUGGUUUAGUUCUUGAACAGUGCACAUCAGAUACAGGGAUGUUUUCUACUGGUCCAGCCGGGCCAGUGGUUUAAAUUUUUACUUGAGUUGCCAAUAUUUUCACUGGCCCUUUCACAAAAAAAUAAAAUAGUUGCUGUUAUCACUGUUUUUGACCCAUGUUAUCUUUUAUUCUAAUAAAUAAGCUUAUAUGACACCAAAAUUUUAAAAACCAAUUCAGUUGUACAAUUCUCUAUUCCAAUUUUGAUACCGCAGCAAAAACUAGAAGCCUAACAAAUAUAAAGUUCAAACAUUAUUAAAGACAAGUUAACAGUCC